GCUGAGAUGGCUCAGUUGGUAGGGCAUGAGACUCUUAAUCUCAGAGUCAAGGGUUCGAGCCCCAAGUUGGGCA